rnacentral:rRNA from 1 species
AUGAACGCUGGCGGCGUGCCUCAUACCUGCAAGUCGCGCGAACAGACGAGGAGCUUGCUCCUCUGACGUUAGCGGCGGACGGGUGAGUAACACGUGGAUAACCUACCUAUAAGACUGGGAUAACUUCGGGAAACCGGAGCUAAUACCGGAUAAUAUAUUGAACCGCAUGGUUCAAUAGUGAAAGACGGUUUUGCUGUCACUUAUAGAUGGAUCCGCGCCGCAUUAGCUAGUUGGUAAGGUAACGGCUUACCAAGGCAACGAUGCGUAGCCGACCUGAGAGGGUGAUCGGCCACACUGGAACUGAGACACGGUCCAGACUCCUACGGGAGGCAGCAGUAGGGAAUCUUCCGCAAUGGGCGAAAGCCUGGCGGAGCAACGCCGCGUGAGUGAUGAAGGUCUUCGGAUCGUAAAACUCUGUUAUUAGGGAAGAACAAAUGUGUAAGUAACUAUGCACGUCUUGACGGUACCUAAUCAGAAAGCCACGGCUAACUACGUG